rnacentral:lncRNA from 1 species
GGUUCCUGCUGCUGUCGCUCCUCGCUCCCCACCACCUCCAGAGCUCCGGUGGGUCACCAUGGAAAGGGAAGCCGCUGCCUGCAAGGCCAGCAGACACAGAGGUCACCCUCCAAUUUUUUCGGGUAACAUUCUGUAAGGACAGAACACCAGGAGGCUACUCCUACCACCAGGAGCAUGUCAGGUAAACAUCCAGAGAGAUGAAGGAAGAAAAAAUUUUAUUUUAGCCACCAAGAAAUACAAGCCGUUCUAAAGAUUAUACUUAAAAGAAAAAAAAAACAAAAAAAGGAAGGAAAAAGGGGACCGAUGAUCUUGCAAUCACGGAAGUUGUAGAGAGCUGGCUGCCUAGAGACACUGUGCCCUUCCCUCCUCCCUCUUUUCCUCUUAUCAACCAGAGGCAGAGACUAAGAAUGCCUUCAAGCAACUAAAGCCUAAAAUAAAAAA